UCUCCAUGAUGGUGAACGCAGAUGAAGAGUCCAUGCAAUCCAUUGUAUUAAACCGGGUGGACAAUCGAGACAUUUGUGUGAGAGAG
rfam:Triticum aestivum genome assembly, contig: Triticum_aestivum_CS42_TGACv1_scaffold_408637_5BL